AUUCUACUCCCUCCGUUGCACAAUACAUGCCUUCUAUUUGUCAAAAUAUAUAUGUAUCUAGACAUGUUUUAGUAUAUAGGCACAUCCAUUUUUGGACAAAUGGAAGUGAAGUAUUUUGGAACGGAGGGAGUACACA
rnacentral:pre_miRNA from 1 species